rnacentral:tRNA from 1 species
GGAACUUUAGCUCAGUUGGUUAGAGCCACCGACUCAUAAUCGGUUGGUCAUUGGUUCGAGUCCAAUAAGUUCCA